GACGAAGGGGGCUAGCGUUGUUCGGAAUUACUGGGCGUAAAGCGAGUGUAGGUGGUUGUCCAAGUUGGAUGUGAAAGCCUUGAGCUCAACUCAAGAAAUGCAUUCAGGACUGGGCGGCUAGAGGACCGGAGAGGAUAGUGGAAUUCCCAGUGUAGUGGUGAAAUACGUAGAGAUUGGGAAGAACACCAGUGGCGAAGGCGGCUAUCUGGACGGUUUCUGACACUAAGACUCGAA
rnacentral:rRNA from 1 species